rnacentral:tRNA from 1 species
GUGGCUUAGUCGGUUAGAGCACCCGGCUGAUAACCGGGAGGUCGCAGGUUCAAGUCCUGCC